UACGUAGGGUCCGAGCGUUGUCCGGAAUUAUUGGGCGUAAAGAGCUCGUAGGCGGCUUGUCGCGUCGAAUGUGAAAACUCGGGGCUCAACUCCGAGCUUGCAUUCGAUACGGGCAGGCUCGAGUUCGGUAGGGGAGACUGGAAUUCCUGGUGUAGCGGUGAAAUGCGCAGAUAUCAGGAGGAACACCGGUGGCGAAGGCGGGUCUCUGGGCCGAUACUGACGCUGAGGAGCGAAAGCGUGGGGAGCGAACAGG
rnacentral:rRNA from 1 species